GAUCUCUAUCUUCUGUCGACCUUUG
rnacentral:sRNA from 1 species